UGAAACCACACGACAGGUUGAGAACCCGCCAACCCUCAAACCCCUCCCAAAUUUUCAGCUCCUUUCACAGUGCAGGUCUCUCUCUCUCUCUCUCUCUCAAUUGAUUACCAAUAAUCGAGGAAGCCCUAGAGAACUCGGGCUUUUUGAACCCUAAUGCCGAAGUUCCAGAUAAGAAGUACCGAUUGAGAGCGUGGUUUUGUGCCCUAGUUAGGAGUGAAUCAGCGCCUGGUUUUGAAUCCAUCUUUCGGGGAAGAACUACUCAAUUGGGGCGUGGUUUUUAAGCCAAAAUGUCUUGGGAGGAUGAGUUGUUUGGCCCGGAUGUUGCAGCUGCUGGGCGUUUGCUCAGUGAUUGCAUUAGUAGAGAUAUCAGUAGCUAUUCUGAUUUGGAGGAAGCUCUUGAAGCUUCUAGAUACACCAGCCAUCCAUACACAUCUCAUCCAAAAGAGUGGCCUCCAUUGGUUGAAGUUGUGGAUACAAAGGAGUUACCUGCUGCUCUAAUUGAUCGAUAUAAUGCAGCUGGUGGGGAGGGCGCAGCUUUAUGUGGCAUAUUUCCAGAGAUCCAUCGGGCUUGGGCAUCUGUAGACAACUCUUUGUUUCUUUGGCGUUUUGAUAAGUGGGAUGGCCAGUGUGCCGAAUAUAGUGGUGAGGAGCAAGCCAUUUGUGCUGUGGGGCUAGGCAAAUCCAAGCCAGGAAUUUUCGUUGAAGCCAUACAAUAUGUUUUGAUAUUAGCAACUCCUGUGGAACUGAUUCUUUUAGGAAUAUGCUGCACUGCAAGUGGUGAUGGAGCAGAUCCAUAUGCAGAGGUUUCAUUGCAACCCUUGCCAGAAUACACAAUACCCUCAGACGGUGUGACUAUGACUUGCAUAACUUGUACUAAUAAGGGGCACAUUUUCCUUGCUGGACGUGAUGGCCACAUUUAUGAAAUGCAAUACACUACAGGUUCUGGAUGGCAUAAACGUUGUCGUAAAGUUUGCCAUACUGCCGGUCUAGGAAGUCUUAUUUCUAGGUGGGUCUUACCAAAUGCUCUUAAGUUUGGGGCUGUAGAUCCGAUUGUUGGUAUGGCAGUUGAUAAUGAAAGGUAUAUUCUGUAUGCACGAACUCAAGAGUCAAAACUUCUGGUUUAUGAUCUGGGCAUAAAUGGUGAUGGCCCACUUAAAAAAAUUGCAGAAGAAAGGACUUUGCUUGAUCAACGAGAUACCCAGUAUGGAGGUGGUCGGUCUGCAGGGUCAAGAGCUGUUUCGCGAUUAUCAAAGGCAUCCAUUGUUUGUAUAGCACCGUUGUCUUCAUUGGAAUCAAAAUGGCUGCAUCUUGUUGCUGUUCUCUCAGACGGUAGAAGGCUGUAUCUUUCCACUGCCCCAGCUGGUGGAAAUGGUGGUUCUGUUGGAGGUUUGGGUGGGAUGAGUAAUACUAAUCAAAGGCCUUCUUCCUUAAAAGUUGUAUCAACACGACCCUCUCCUUCUGUUGGGUUUGGUAGUGGACUUUCAUUUGGAACAGCAUCUAUGCUUGGGAGGCCACAAACUGAAGAUCUGGUUCUCAAGGUCGAUGCAGCUCACUGUUCUUCUGGGACUCUUGUACUUUCUGAUUUCUUAGCCCCAGCAACCUCCUCCCUUUUGGUUGUGAGUAGGGACUCAACUACACAAUCAUCCCACUCUGGUAACUUUAGCUCAGUGUCUUCCAGAAGUUCUCGUGUACUACGAGAAACCGUCUCUUCUGUUCCAGUUGAUGGUCGAACACUUUUUGUGGUUGAUGUCUUUCCCCCCCCAGAUACUGCAGCUACUGUGCAAUCUUUGUACUCAGAAUCUUUUGGGGUUGGAGCUCUGGGGGAACCUCCUGAGAAGGCAUGCAUACAACUUCGAGCCAGAGGAGACCUGGCAACUCAACAUGUCUUACCGAGAAGAAGGGCAAUUGUGUUCACCACUAUGGGCUUGAUAGAAGUGGUAUCCAAUAGACCUGUGGAUAUUUUGCGAAGGCUGCUAGAAUCGAAUGCACCAAGAACUUUGUUAGAGGAUUUCUUUAAUCGUUUUGGAGCUGGGGAGGCUGCAGCGAUGUGUUUGUUGCUUGCCGCAAAGCUUGUUCCUGUUGAGGAUCUUCUAAUAAGCAAUGCAAUUUCUGAAAAAGCUGCUGAAGCAUUUGAGGAUCCAAUGGUAGUUGGAAUGCCACAGAUUGAAGGUUCCAGUGCAUUAGCAAGUACAGUAACUCCUCCAGGAGUUGGCUUCAACAUGGGUCAAGUUGUUCAAGAGGCUGAGCCCAUAUUUUCUGGUGCUCAUGAAGGACUAUGUCUGUGCUCAUCCAGGUUGCUUUUCCCUGUGUGGGAGUUUCCUGUUAUGGUUGUCAAGUGCGAGGCAGGCCUUGAAGUGGGACUUGGAAAAGGGGUUAUAGUGUGCAGGCUAUCAGCAGAAGCAAUGAAUGACCUAGAAAGCAAGAUUCGCUCCUUAGAGCUGUUUUUACGUUCUAGACGUGAUCAGAGAAGGGGGCUCUAUGGUUGCGUAGCUGGCCUAGGAAACUUCACUGGUUCUAUAUUGUAUGGAAGUGGCUCUGACAUGGUAAUGGGAGAACGAGGCUUGGGGAGGAAUUUGUUUGGAUCUAGCACUCCAAGUGGAGAAAAGGGAAGUGUUGUGACUACAUCCAAUAAAAGGCAACGGCUUCCAUAUAGUCGGGCAGAACUUGCUGCUAUGGAGGUGAGGGGAAUGGAAUGUGUUAGAAGAUUGCUAAAAAGAUCGGGUGAAGCACUCUUCUUACUCCAACUUCUUUCACAGCAUCAUGUUGCUCGUUUGGUUCAGAGUUUAGAUAUAAGUGUACGCCAGAAAUUAGUGCAAUUGACAUUUCAGCAGCUGGUAUGCUCAGAUGAGGGUGAUCAGGUGGCCACAAGACUCAUUGCUGCACUCAUGGAGUACUAUAUUGGCCCCGAUGGCAGGGGCACUGUUGAUGAUAUCAGUGGGAAGCUUCGGGAGGGCUGUCCAAGUUAUUAUAAUGAGUCUGACUACAAGUUUUUCCAAGCAGUAGAGUACCUUGAAAGAGCUGCCGUUACUAGUGAUAUGGAGGAGAAAGAAAUGCUUGCCAGGGAAGCUUUUGCCCUUCUAGUUGAAGUUCCAGAGUCAGCAGAUCUCGGUGCUGUGUGCAAGCGUUUUGAAGACUUAAGGUUUUAUGAAGCAGUUGUCAAAUUGCCACUGCGAAAGGCUCAGGCUCUUGAUCCUGAUGGGGAUGCUCUGAAUGAUCAAAUUGAUGCUAACCGGAGGGAAAGUGCUCUGGCUCUUCGUGAGCAGUGCUAUGAAGUUGUCACCAAUGCACUCCGUUCUUUAAAGAGUGGAAACGAACCAAAAGGAGUGGCAAGAGAGUUUGGCUCUCCCGUUAAAUCUGUCAAUAGAAGGGUAGUUGUUGAUCAGGCUUCUCAAGACAAAUAUGUGCGCCAGAUUGCUCAACUGAGUGUUCAGUGGCCUGACAAAGCCUUUCAUGAGCAUUUGUACCAAACAAUGAUCGAUCUAGGACUUGAGAAUGAAUUAUUGGAAUACGGGGGACCAGAUUUGGUACCUUUUCUGCAGGCUGCAAGUCGGGACACAGGGGCUCAGGCAGGGGUUGUCUCAGCAACAAAUCAUGUGUCCUCCCCUGGGGGCCAUGUUACUUCCAGCAGUGCGAAGUAUCUCGAGCUUCUAGCUCGGUAUUAUGUCUUAAAGAGGCAGCAUGCUCUUGCGGCUCAUAUAUUGUUGAGACUGGCUGAAAGGCGUGGCACAAGAGAUUCCCUCACCCUGGGGCAGAGGCAUCAGUAUCUCAGUAACGCAGUGCUUCAAGCAAAGAGUGCAUGCAGCAUUACUGGUGCAGUAAAUUCAAAGGGAGGCAUUGUGGAUCGUGGUUUACUAGAUCUGCUUGAAGGCAAACUUGCUGUUCUUCGAUUUCAAAUGAAGAUCAAGGGAGAACUUGAAAGUAUGGCAUCAAGAAUUGAAAGUUCAUCUGGAGUUGCCCCAGCUCCUGUCCCUGAUGACCCGUUUCCUCAAAGCAACCUAAUGACAGGUGUGAAUUAUGCAAACACUGCUAGAGAUAAGGCCAAGGAGCUAUCUCAAGACCUGAAGAGUAUCACACAACUAUACAACGAGUAUGCAGUCCCAUUUGAGCUUUGGGAGAUAUGCCUGGAAAUUCUCCAUUUUGCAAACUAUUCUGGAGAAGCUGAUACUAGUAUUAUUCGAGAAACCUGGGCAAGACUUCUUGAUCAAGCUCUCUCAAAAGGUGGAAUUGCAGAAGCUUGUUCAGUAUUGAAGAGGGUGGGAUCCCAGUUGUAUCCUGGAGACGGAACUAGCUUGCCCCUGGAUACAAUAUGCCUGCACCUUGAAAAAUCAGCAAUGGAGAGGUUGCAUUCAGGUAUUGAGCUUGUCGGGGACGAGGAUGUUGCAAGGGCACUACUUGCAGCUUGCAAGGGUGCAGCUGAGCCUGUUUUAAGCACAUAUGAACGUAUUCUAUUGAAUGGUGCUAUAUUGCCUUCACAGAAUUUGCGCUUGCGUUUUCUGCAGUCCGUGCUUGUUAUACUUCGUGAAUGGGCAAUGUCAUUACUUGCACAGAGAAUGGGGACAAGCCCAACAGGAGCCUCUCUCAUUCUUGGUGGCACCCUCAGCUUGCAGCGAACUACAGUUCUAAAUCAAGGAGUCACAGACAAGAUCACAAGUGCAGCAAACAGGUUUAUGACGGAGGUUCGACGGCUGACACUUCCUCAAAGCCAAAUUGAGCAUGUUUUUAGAGGCUUCCGAGAACUUGAGGAAUCACUGGAUUGAAGGUUGAUGGAAGAGAGGGGAGUGGUAGAAGAGGCAUUGGCUCAAUGGUUCUCAAAUGCUUGAGAUGGGCGACUCAAAUGGGUUUUGUUGCAGGAGAAGAGGAAGGAUGGUUAAUGGGUUUGAGAAUUGAGUGUGGCACAGAGAGAUCAAUUGAGAGGGCAGAAGCUCUAAUUCAUUAAUGAAGGGGGUACUUCACUUUUAAACCGACCGAUCUUUAUUUUGAAUCUAAUGGGAGCUGAAACCUUGUUGGGCGUGCAAACAUUUUUGACAGGUUAGCAAGGUAACCUAUAUAUCGAUUUCCUCUUAUUAUUCAUCAAAGAAACGUGGCCUUCAUUUAUGAUUCACUCCAUUAAGAACCCUUCAGUUCUAACGCAGAUCCAAACUUUUGAGAUUUUUAAGAUGUAAUAAAACAGGUAAAUCGUGUCAGGGCACUUCUU